AGCAGCUCCAUCCUGCUCCGGCUCUCCUUGCGUUGGGCCCGUGGUCAGAGCCAGGCACUUGGCCGACCAGCCCGAGCCCAGUUGUCUGUGCCAGGACCUCCAACCUGCGGCCACCUGCACUUCAAGCACCAAGUUGGCUCUGGAAGACCUCAGGAUGGUCUGACCUAGGAACUGGCAGAGUCUUGUUAUGCAGCUCAGGCUAGCCUGAAACUUACAACCUCCUGACUCUGCGUCCCAGGUGCUGGGAUUUCAGAUCCCCAGGGUCUGCCAGGGGUCCCUCGACAAUCACCUCCUCGUGCUGCUGGGUGUCGAUGGCACCAGACGAGUCUACCUGCCGGACGACUUUGCGAAUGAUCUGGAAAGAGAGGGGAAGAGGAGAGAUGGUCAAGUCGUCAGGACAACAUUUGAGAAGAACAGGGCUCCAGCAGAGGCACCAGGAGGAGAGGCCAUGGCUUCCUGUCCCCUGGAGCCAAGAAGAAGCCUUUCCCUGCUGUCAUCUAUGGGGAAUGUCAGUGGGGCUUGGACUGGGGAGCACGGCCGGCAGGGCUUCGUCAACCAUUGGCUUGGGCACGCGCAGCGCUGCCUCAGCCCUCCUCCAUCCCACUCUGCUCCUUGGAAUGGAUGGAAGCUCGGUCUGACUAUUGUGCCUCUCCAUGCCUAAGGACAGAGGCAGGCAACCCUUCUAUCCAUGGCUCUGCUCUUACCUUCUUGGUAACAAUGUUGCCCUGUUCAUCUGUGAAUUGUUCCUCCGUCACCUGCUCUCCUGGAAUAUUCUGAAGCUCAUCCCCCUGGAAUUAGAAGAAGGGAAAGACCCAGACUGCAUCACCAUGCAUGCGCCACAGACUGUCCUCUGGCACCUGAGGUCCGGCCCCCGCUACCCUUCCGCUUGCCUGGUGUUACCUUCAGGAAGACCCGUCGGCGGACCACCCUGGUAGAGAUGGUCUCCUCGUCAUCGCUCAGGCCCUCGCUCUCCCCCAGCUCCUUGUCCAGUUCCUGGUGGAUGUGCUUCAGCACAAAGCACAGGGAACCCUUGACAAUAUGCAUCACAUUCUGACAGCUGACCAGGAAGAAGCCUAACAGCACCAACGUGACCAGGAGCUGCGUGAUGAAGGUCCACAUCCUCCUCUCCUCCCUCUCCUCACCAGCCUGGCCNUCCAGGGACUGGGGACACCAGGGGCCCAGCUGCUGCGGAGAUCCAGUUUCUCAUUCUCNUCUCGGACUCCUGAAGUCCCCAGCCAGCCCUUCCAUUCCGUCUCUUUAUCCUCUUUUCUCUUUAUCUCCUGUUUAUUCUAAACGGGAGACCAGACGGUCUCUCCCGCGCGACUCUCUUAGCUGGGACGUGGCGACCCAAAUGCCCUUCCUGCCAAACGGCCCAGGAUCUCUCCUCACACCCCAGAGGACGUCAGCCUUCUAUAAUUUUAGUAAUUUUAGCUCUCGAGCCAGCUGCUAGAGCUGUCCAACUGGGAUGAGAGGAGACAGCAGGUGCUGUAUCUUGGUCUCAGGAAGCACAUGUCAAAGUGACCGUAGAGAGGGAACCCGGGCUUGUCUAGGGUGCCAGAGGAAAAGUCUCUCAUUCAGGGACUCCAUAAAACAAGGUGUCCC
rnacentral:lncRNA from 1 species